GCUGGUGGGGUCGGUGGAAGGCUGGUUAAACCGUUUGGUUUUCGACCAUAGGACACGGGUUCGAUUCCCGCAUUGGACA
rnacentral:tRNA from 1 species